GUUGUGUGAGCUCUUUGUAUAUUUUGGAGACUAAGCCCUUGUUGGUCACAUCAUUUGCAAAUAUUUUCUCCUAUUCCAAAGGAGUUGUACUGAGAAAAUUGGAUAGCUGCAUGUAAAUUAAUGAAGUUAGAAGAUACCUUCACACCAAACUAAACUCAAAAUGAUUUAUAGUCUUAAACAUAAGAUAUGACACCAUAAAACUCCUAGAAGAGAGCAUAAGGAAAACAUUUUCUGACAAAUCAUACAAAUAUUUUCUUAGGUCAGUCUCCCGAGGCAAUAGAAAUAAAAACAAAAAUAAACAAAUGUGACAACUUUAUUUUCCUUAAGGCUCAAAAAAAAUUAUUUUUAUUCUAACAAUUCAAAAUCAGAAAUUAGAAAUCUUUUGGAGUUCCCUUUGUGGCUCAGUGGUUAACAAACCCAACCAGGGUCCAUGAGGAUGCGGGUUUGAUCUGUGGUGUAGGUUGCAGAUGUGGCUUGGAUCCCACGUUGCUGUAGUUGUGGUAUAGGCCAGAAGCUGCAGCUCCAAUAUGACCCCUAGCCUGAGAAUUUCCAUAUGCUGUGAGUGAGGCCUGAAAAAGAAAAAGAAAAACCUUUCUUAUGUCCAGUAGAUGGCAGCACAACACAGUAUUUGGUUUCCCUUACCUGAGCUGCCUCUGGUUCUACUUGAGUUGGCAUUUUCCACACUCCAUCCCCUGAUUCAGACGUUUACUCCAGUGCCCUGGUUGUCACUGCUUGUCUCUCCAGGGUCAUUGGCGCCUUGCUUGUACUGGUGUCACUGGCAUCAUCAUCCAUGUCACCAGGAUGGUGGGUGCUCUGCCACAUCUGGGAUCUUCUGUUUCACAGGCUCUGCCACCAUAGGGACAGAGUUAAGGUGGGUGAAACCUGGUUCACAGCUGCCUCUGCCAUGUAUAGUGUCAUCAGGUUUGUAGGUUCCAUCACUGGGAAAGAAAGAGAUAGAAUCAUGAACACUUCCACAGCUGGAGGGAUGGGGUUAUGGGCUCCAUUGCCACUCCUGCCCAGUUAUCUGUUGCCAUGGGCACCACUGCACCUGGGAAACCAGAGUCAUUUGCACUGCCUCCCCUACUGCUGCUGGGUUCUCUGGGUCUGGGGCUUGGCAAAGGGGCUGGGAUUGCAGAUACCACCUCCAAUAUUCUCCCAAUUCCAUCUCCCCUAUAUGUUCCAGUUCACCUGCUUUUAUAUGUACGAAUACAUGAAAUCCUCCAGCAUCCUGGUAUGUUGGGAAGAGGCACCUUUGCUGAGCUUUUCGUAUUUUACUGGCUGUAAAUUUAAGGGGGGAGACAUCUCACUUUACCAUGAUGCUGACAUCACUCUAUUACAAUUCCUUAAAAACAUAUAUUUCUCAUGUUUUGGAAUGGUAGGUUAGCCUUGCUAAGCAAUGAAUUAUCUGAACCUAUGUUUUACAAAAUAGUUUCUAACAGAGACUGAUCUUUUUGCUAUUUAUUUUGAGUUUCUAAGAAAAGUUUUUACUCUCUCGGCUGAAAAAAAGAUAGGUCAGUCAACAAGGUGGUGGAAUAGGAAGCCCUGGAUCUCCCUCCUCCCCCAGAUACAACAAUUCAAUAGCAAUGUAAGGACAAAUUCCCUUUGUGAGAAUUCCAAAAGUUAGAUGAGAGCUUCCUAUAUCUUCCAAAACCAUGAUACCAACCGCAUUGCUGCUGACAGGAAAAUCUGAGACACUCUUUAACAAUGAUCCCUAACUCCAGAACAAGGCUAUGUGAUCAGAAGGAAAGUCCAGAUCCCAGCUUCUUGUCUGGGGAGGAAAAUAGUCAUACUAAGUGUCCUUUUUUUUUAAAACUUUUCCAGGGACUGGCCAAGGAACUAGCUUCUGUCUUGCUCAUCGUAGGGCACUAACAAGGUUAAGAAUAUUCUAAAUGCCUAGGAGCAGAUGAGAAUAAAGACAGUAGUUUGAAUUAGCACCCAAGCCAUCAUCAUGGUCCCUCCUUCAAGCCCAGCAUGUGAGUGAGCAAAACCAUAAUUCCAGCUUCUCUCUGGGGAGUGAAAGAGUUCAAUGACACAUUCAGUGUUCCAACUUUUCUGGGGGCUGCCUAAGGGACUGUCUCCUGUCUCAGAAUGAUGAUGGACCUGAAAUACUCUAUAUGGUUGGAGGCCACUAAGAACAAAGAUGUCAGUUUGGACUAGCAGAAAGGUUUGAAAAGCCCCCAGAUUCCCUGGAUAAGCUUACUGGGAAGGGUUUUCUUCUGUAAGAGACCAGCCCGUUAAAAAUGGGAGAAGUGGCUAUUUUUUCUAACACAUAGAGAGAAACCAAGACAAAGAGUCAAGGGACAUGAAGAAACAUGUCCCCAAGGAUGAAGAUAAAUCUUCAGAAACUAACCAUAUGAAAUGGAAAAAUAUGAUUUACUUCACAGAGAAUUCAAACAAUAAUCAUAAAAUUGCUCAACCAGGUCAGGUGAAUAAUGUAUGAACAAAGUGAAAAUCUAAACAAAGAUAAAGAAUAUUUUAAAAACAAGCCGACAGAAAAUAUGGUGCUGAAGAAUACAAAAAAUUAAACAGAAAAAUUCAUGAGAGAGGCUUGAAAACAAACUAGAUCUCCUGUGUCUGAAUAAUUUGCGAUGACCUGUGAAUUCAAAGACAGGUCAUUGCAAAUUAUUCAGACAUAGGAUGAAAAAAAUAGAUGAAAAAGCAUGACAAAAUAUUAUGGGAAUUAUAGGACACAAUUAACUAGACAAAUAUACACAUUACAGAAGUCCCCAAAGGAACAAAGAGAGAAGGAUACAGAAAUAAUGACCAGAAACUUCUCAAAUCUAGUAAAUGGAAUGAACAUAUAGGUCCAGGAAGCUCAACACUUCUUUUUGUUUUGAUUUAUCUUUUUAGGUCCACACCUUUGACAUAUAGAAGUUCCCAGGCUAGGGCUUGAGCCAGAGCUGCAGCUGCCGGGCUACACCACAACCACACUGAUGGCAGGAUCUGAGCUGCAUCUGCGACCUACACCACAGCUCAUGGCACCACCAAAUCUUUAACCC
rnacentral:lncRNA from 1 species